UCCGGCCGGGAACUCAAAGGAGACUGCCAGUGAUAAACUGGAGGAAGGUGGGGAUGACGUCAAGUCAUCAUGGCCCUUACGACCAGGGCUACACACGUGCUACAAUGGCGCAUACAAAGAGAAGCGACCUCGCGAGAGCAAGCGGACCUCAUAAAGUGCGUCGUAGUCCGGAUUGGAGUCUGCAACUCGACUCCAUGAAGUCGGAAUCGCUAGUAAUCGUGGAUCAGAAUGCCACGGUGAAUACGUUCCCGGGCCUUGUACACACCGCCCGUCACACCAUGGGAGUGGGUUGCAAAAGAA
rnacentral:rRNA from 1 species